rnacentral:rRNA from 1 species
UACGAGGGGGGCGAGCGUUGUUCGGAAUUAUUGGGCGUAAAGGGUGCGUAGGCGGUUCGUCGCGUCGGCUGUGAAAACCUGAGGCUCAACCUCAGGCCUGCAGUCGAUACGGGCGGACUUGAGUACUGCAGGGGAGACUGGAAUUCCUGGUGUAGCGGUGAAAUGCGCAGAUAUCAGGAGGAACACCGGUGGCGAAGGCGGGUCUCUGGGCAGUAACUGACGCUGAGGAGCGAAAGCGUGGGGAGCGAACAGG